GUUGUCCAACGUGGGCUGAGACAGCCAGGUCUUUACACUCCUUCACUGAUCAAUCACUGAAUGUGGACUUUGUGGGAAAAGUGUGACCUUGGGCAAGGGGCAGAUCCUGAGGGACUGACAGUUGAAGGCCGAUCUGCCAAGUGCACCGUUAGUGGCCAAGGCAACAAGCUCUUCCCUGAAGAGGAAGCUGGGAGGCCCAUCACAACAUGCACACGGCUUUCUACAGAGCACCCCAGAGGACAAGCAGCACCCUUGAUUCCCUUCUCCAGCUGAAGUUCAGGGUGACAUGGUGACUGGCAGUGCACCUCAAGUGGAGUUGGAAGUGAACCCAAGGGCUUUGACUGCCAACUCUUCAUGCCCUGCUGACUCCUGCUGCUCAGCUUCACGUCUCCUGUGCCCUCUCUUCUCCUUUUCUCUGUUCAUUGCCCUCCCCAAUCUCCCUUUCUCCCAGCCUAGCUGCAGGCAGAACCUCUUCUGAAGUAGGACAGAUUAUUUCUAAACUUUAGCAGAGAGGAGUAGAUGGUAAGGAUUUCAGUGGUCUUUUGCACUCAAUGGAAAAGCCUAUAGAGAGCCUUGUUUCCCCCAAAGGAAACACUCCCAGGCUGUAAGACUUUGAACAGGCCAGGAGACCCCCUCCAGUUCCCUCCAGUAGGUGACCAGGCACCAUGCGCAGCAGUGCGAUGUGACAGCGUGUGGAGGGCUCUCCAGUAAGCCAGACUUGAGUGCAGAGUUCAUCUCCCUUUGCACUUAGGCUUUGUGACUUCUCUGAACCUUGGUUUCCUCCUCUGUUCAACCUAACUCAUAAAGUUUCAUAUUUGUUUAGAAAACAAACGCAAAGUACUGAACUCAGUGCCUUGUUGCAGCAUUCACAUGUUCUCAGAAAAUGGAAGUUCUCUUUCUUUUUCCUUUAACUCCCCUCCUCCAGCCCUAACUGAGAGAAGCAAUGGGAGUGAGUUUGAAUGGGAAAGAAGGAAGAGUAUUCCAGUAGGGAAGAACAAAGUGAGCUAAGACCAUAGGUGGGAAAGAGCUUGAUGUCUGCCUGUGAGAUGAACAGAGAGGUCAGGGUGGUUGUGUGUCCUGAGCAAGAAGGAUGGUGUCCCAAACUAAAUGGACCAUUAGGUAGUACUAGGCCACAUUAACACUUCGCCAGCCAGAAUUUGGUUUUUGUUCUGAAUACAAGAAGAAGCCACUGGAGAAUUAAGAACAGGAAAAAUAAUGUGAUCUGAUUUUCACUGUAAGAAGAUCACUUGGGCUAUUAAUGAAAAUGUUUAUG
ensembl:lncRNA